AAGCCCCGGAGCCCUUUUGGGGCUCGUCUUCAAACUUGCAUUUUGACGUGUAACACCUCGGGACUAAAACAUAUUU
rnacentral:tRNA from 1 species